CCUCCUUAUACGAUUUAGAACUUAUUUGUUCGUAGUGUCCACACAGAUGAUUGUUAGUUAGCUAAGCCACUGGCUUACCUAAUUAAUAUGCUCUUUAAAAAUUUGGAAAAGCUGAUAAUAAAAUUCGUAUAGAUAACAGUUGUUAUUUAUACAGAGUUUUCAAAAGUAAAAAAAUGCCAUUGAUUAUUCAAACGAAUAGUUAAUUGGUAUCUACUUUAGUAUUCAAUAUUAACUUCUGGCGAAGUUAAACUGUCACUAACAAAGACCCGUUUGGGUUGUAUGGUUAAGUGACUAAGCGUACACGGUGGAUGC
rnacentral:misc_RNA from 1 species